UGAGGCAGGAGAAUUGCUUGAACCCAGGAGGUGGAGGUUGCAGUGAGCUGAGAUUGGGCCACUGCACUCCAGCCUGGGUGACAGAGCGAGACUCUAUCUCA
rnacentral:miRNA from 1 species